rnacentral:rRNA from 1 species
AGCGAACGCUGGCGGCAGGCCUAACACAUGCAAGUCGAACGAAGUCUUCGGACUUAGUGGCGGACGGGUGAGUAACACGUGGGAACGUGCCUUUAGGUUCGGAAUAACUCAGGGAAACUUGUGCUAAUACCGAAUGUGCCCUUCGGGGGAAAGAUUUAUCGCCUUUAGAGCGGCCCGCGUCUGAUUAGCUAGUUGGUGAGGUAAAGGCUCACCAAGGCGACGAUCAGUAGCUGGUCUGAGAGGAUGACCAGCCACAUUGGGACUGAGACACGGCCCAAACUCCUACGGGAGGCAGCAGUGGGGAAUUUUGCGCAAUGGGCGAAAGCCUGACGCAGCCAUGCCGCGUGGAUGAUGAAGGUCUUAGGAUUGUAAAAUCCUUUCACCGGUGAAGAUAAUGACUGUAGCCGGAGAAGAAGCCCCGGCUAACUUCGUGCCAGCCGCCGCCGUAAGAC